UGGAAUGACUACUUUUUGAUUAUCUGUUCUUCUUCUCCUUCUUUGUUGUUCUUUGUUCUAAUCUGCAGCAAGCUCCUUACAAGAGUGUCCUAUCUUCAAGCACUUUUCACAAAAUUCUGGUUUCCAGUCAUAGGAAAUUUCUCGCUCAUAAUCCUCCAUCCGGUUCCCUUACAGCAACACUAGUAGGCAGUGCCCUUGUAACAUUGACCUCAAUUAGCAUUCUAGCAUAGUAUAUUCUCCUUUGCUUAGAUGUGCAUUCAUCUGCAUACAGUGGCUUGCCAAUUGAACUGGAAAUUUUGCUUAAUGACUGAGCUCCCUAACAACUCAUAGGCAGGUUAGGCAACACUGCUCAAAAAGGAGUCAGAAAUUCCUUAUUGAUAUCACACUUAGCAUACCAGGGUUUCAAAAUCAAUGGUUUGUUGUUCAUUGUAUACGGUCCAGAGUAUAAAAUCUCAUUCAUAUCAGUCAUACUGUUAAAUCUAACCACAUAAUAGCCCUCAUCAUGGUAGAAAACAUCUGGCUCAGCUACUUGAUUCCAGUUCUGUUUUACAUACCUAUGCAUGUAAUUAUAUCUAGGAGUUUCCCCAAUUACAUACACGAUUAAGGCACUUCUCCACUUCAGUACUUCCUUUUAUACAUCUUAAUUUUUGAAUUGGACAACUGUUUUCCCCUCUAUAAUCGCACAGGGAAAAUAAUUCAGCUUCAAUCCAUUCUCAGAACUUCUAUUUCCUGCAACCAAAGAGGUCCACUGAGUUUUCUCACCUUUGUCAUCCAUUUCAGCUACUCGAUCCGCAGUUGAUUUGCUUGUGCUUGCUAGAUCUGGUAGAUCUGGUACCUUCUCACUCAGCUACACACUUAGCUUUGGAUCAACACUUAAUUCCUUCCCCUUACCAUUGUUUUGUACUGUUUUCUAUGUUGCAUGCAGCUCUUCGAUCAAUGGAACAAUGAUUUCUGGAUUCUCGACCGCUUGUGCUUCAUCUUCAGCUAGUAUUCCUCCUCCUUUGGUCUCCCUCGAGGUCUUCCCCUUCCCCUGACCAUUUCCACAGUGGACGCGCCGUUAGCCUAACGUGCGCCGAUGGCUCGUGGUUAGAAAGAGAAACAAGAGAGAUGUUAGAGCUAAUAUAUUUUUUAAUGCAAAAUGCUACGUUCUUCUCUCUCUCUCUCUCUCUCUCUAUAUAUAUAUAUAUAUAUAUAUAUAUAUUACAGUAUUUUCAGCACCAUCGAGCUAUAACUAGUAGGCAUGCUUUAUUGGAUAACCUCUAAUCAGGUGGUAAGUUAUAUACCGGGCAUACUAUGGUCGAACGCCUAUGAGCGAGCCUACUACGGCAGAAAAGUUACACAUACCAAGCCUUAUAGGGCCUAACAGUUAUUUUACUUACUAUAUUGAGAUAGAUGAGUUAGUAUCAACAGGUAAGCAUAUCUUCAAUUAUAUUUGAAUCCCAGGUACUUUUAGUUAUUAUAUUAUCAGUUCAAUUCCAGUUUUUAGUUAUUUUGUUGCCUUACAUACUCAGUAUUGAUGUCCUUUUUGUUGGGGACCUGCAUUUCAUGCCUGCAGGUCCUGAUAGACAGCUGGACAGACCUUCUGAGUAGACAAAGUCAAAUACCAGCUUGGUUGGUAAGACCCACUUUCUCGAAGUUACCAGGUCUAUACCUUAGAGUCAAUUUUAUAUAUAUAGGUUUGAUAGGUAGAUUGAGGCCCUGUCCCGGCCAUGAUACAGUUAUGUUAUCCCAGAGGCUUUUAGACGAGUCAUGUACAUUUUUUAUAUCAGUAUUAUGGCUUUACCAAGCUAUGUAGAUUUUUAGUUUGUUAUUGCUGGUUGCAGACGUUAUUUUCAGAUGAUUCAGAAUAUGGCCUCAUCGGCCUAAGUUGAGGGUUACUCCUUCAUAGUUUACAGUUACAGAGUGGUAUGCUCGUGCCUAGUAUGGCACCAGGUUCUUUAGGUUUGAGGCACGACAAUUCUAUGCUCUUAUUAUUUAACUUUUCAUGGUAUUUGGUUUGGGUUCGGGAAUAUUUCAGAAUGAGUUAAGAUACUUAGUUUAAAGGUUAGAAGCUUAUGUUGAAAAGGUUGAGUGGAUGUUGGCAUACAUGUAAAUGGCUCCAGAAUGGAGUUUUGACGGUCCAGAUAGCUAUGUAGGGUGAUUUUGGACUUAGGAGUGUGUUUGGAUAGUUAUAUGAAGGUCCAUAGUUAUUUUGGCAUGAAAUGGUGAAAAUUGGAAAAUUAGAAGUUUUGAAAAUUGAGAUGUUUGAUCGAGAGUUGACUUUGUGGUUAUCGGGCUUAGAUUUUGGUUUAAAAAUUUUAAAUAGGUCGGUUUUGUCAUUUAUGAUUUGUGUGAAAAAUUUGAGGUCAAUCAGACUUGAUUUAAUAAGUUUCGGCAUAGUAUGUAGACGUUAAAAAUGCAUACGUUCAUUAAGUUUGAAUUGACGCGUGAUUCAUGUUUUUUAUUUCAUUUGAUGUGAUUUAAGGCCUCGCCUAAGUUUGUAUGAUGGCUUAGGACUUGUUAAUAUGUUUAGUUGAGGUCCCGGGGGCCUCGUGUGGAUUCAGAUGGUUAAUAGAGUGAAAUGGGACUUAGAAGAUUGCUAAAGCCUGCUGGUGUUGUGUGUUCUGCCUUCCUUCUACACAAUCACGUGGAAAGGUCAGUGUUUGCGUAGGCUUAUUUUGGCAGCUAAGGUUUUUGUUCUAUGCAUUCCCGAGGUGAGGGCUAAGAUCGUGUGGUUAGUGAGGUUGUGAAUCGCGAACGCGUGGCUGAGGCCGUCUUCGCAAGAGGGAAAGGCAAGGCUGGGGGUUCACGCGCAUGUGUUCAUCGCAAAUGCAUGAUGUUGUUCGUGAUCGCGAAGGUCUGAAGUUCCGUGCAUCGCGUUCGCAUGGUGUUUUUCGCAUUCACGUAGGGUGAACUUAUGGGCAGCAUAAAUUGUGCUUCGCUUCGCGAAGCAUUUUCAGCGAUCAUAAUUAAGGACUUC
rnacentral:lncRNA from 1 species